rnacentral:rRNA from 1 species
GACGAACGCUGGCGGCGUGCCUAAUACAUGCAAGUUGAGCGAUGAAGAUUGGUGCUUGCACCAAUUUGAAGAGCAGCGAACGGGUGAGUAACGCGUGGGGAAUCUGCCUUUGAGCGGGGGACAACAUUUGGAAACGAAUGCUAAUACCGCAUAAUAACUUUAAACAUAAGUUUGAAGUUUGAAAGAUGCAAUUGCAUCACUCAAAGAUGAUCCCGCGUUGUAUUAGCUAGUUGGUGAGGUAAAGGCUCACCAAGGCGAUGAUACAUAGCCGACCUGAGAGGGUGAUCGGCCACACUGGGACUGUGACACGGCCCAAACGCCUACGGGAGGCAGCAGUAGGGCAUCUUCGGCAAUGGACGAAAGUCUGACCGCGCAACGCCGCGUGAGUGAAGAAGGGUUUCGGAUCGUAAAACUCUGUUGUUAGAGAAGAACGUUGGUGAGAGUGGAAAGCUCAUCAAGUGACGGUAACUACCCAGAAAGGGACGGCUAACUACGUG